rnacentral:rRNA from 1 species
UGGGGAAUAUUGGACAAUGGGGGCAACCCUGAUCCAGCAAUGCCGCGUGUGUGAAGAAGGUCUUCGGAUUGUAAAGCACUUUCGACGGGGACGAUGAUGACGGUACCCGUAGAAGAAGCCCCGGCUAACUUCGUGCCAGCAGCCGCGGUAAUACGAAGGGGGCUAGCGUUGCUCGGAAUGACUGGGCGUAAAGGGCGUGUAGGCGGUUUACACAGUCAGAUGUGAAAUCCCCGGGCUUAACCCGGGAGCUGCAUUUGAUACGUGUAGACUAGAGUGUGAGAGAGGGUUGUGGAAUUCCCAGUGUAGAGGUGAAAUUCGUAGAUAUUGGGAAGAACACCGGUGGCGAAGGCGGCAACCUGGCUCAUGACUGACGCUGAGGCGCGAAAGCGUGGGGAGCAAACAGGAUUAGAUACCCUGGUAGUCCACGCUGUAAAACG